UACGUAGGGUGCAAGCGUUGUCCGGAAUUAUUGGGCGUAAAGAGCUCGUAGGCGGUCUGUCGCGUCUGCUGUGAAAACUCAGGGCUUAACCCUGAGCUUGCAGUGGGUACGGGCAGACUAGAGUGCGGUAGGGGAGACUGGAAUUCCUGGUGUAGCGGUGAAAUGCGCAGAUAUCAGGAGGAACACCGGUGGCGAAGGCGGGUCUCUGGGCCGAUACUGACGCUGGAGGAGCGAAAGCGUGGGGAGCGAACAGG
rnacentral:rRNA from 1 species